CGCAACCCCUACUUGUUAGUUGCCAUCAUUCAGUUGGGCGACUCUAGCGAGACUGCCGGUAAUAAACCGGAGGAAGGUGGGGAGUGACGUCAAAUCAUCAUGCCCCUUAUGACCUGGGCUACACACGUGCUACAAUGGUUGGUACAACGAGUUGCGAGUCGGUGACGGCGAGCUAAUCUCUUAAAGCCAAUCUCAGUUCGGAUUGUAGGCUGCAACUCGCCUACAUGAAGUCGGAAUCGCUAGUAAUCGCGGAUCAGCACGCCGCGGUCGAAUACGUUCCCGGGCCUU
rnacentral:rRNA from 1 species